GCAAGCCAGGAAGGAGGAGGCAGCCAGAGUGUUCUCUGCAGCAGAAGACCCCUUGCUGCCCUGCUUAACCCAGACCAGCAUUUGCCAGCUUUGUUUCUCUUUCCAUGCACUGAACAUAUAUGCCCAUCCUGUGCUUGCGAGGCUACAUGACCAAGAGCAGGCCUGGGUGACCAUAACAUUCCAUAGUCAGAGAAAUACAGAACAUCCCCUGGUGCUACAAAAAUGGAAGAAAUUCCAUUCCCUUCUAUGAGAUUUAAGUUCAGGAUGCUGAUGAGGGAAAGGCUCAUUCACAUCUAUGCAGUGAGAUUUUUGAGAAAACACUGCAAUGAAUAACAAAAGGAAUGGGAAGUAUCCUUGAGUUCUGGUAUAACAUUGCUGGUCUCAACAUGGAGAAGUGUUUACAGUCAAGAUUUGGGUUGGAAUCCUAUGCAUAUCGACUAGAGAGCAAGUCUCAUUGAAUUCAGUGGAAUUGACUGCUGAGUUGACUAGGGAUGUGCACAAAAUGUUUUGGGUAAGCAGGGUGGUGAUGGAGAGAAGUAGCUUUAAGGAGCAGGUACGCAGGUCCUUACCU